UCUAGAGGCUUCGGCAAUGGGGGAAACCCUGACCGAGCGACGCCGCGUGUGGGAUUGAAGGCCUUCGGGUCGUAAACCACUGUCAGGAGGGAAGAAUGCCCUGAUGGCGAAUCAGGGAGAGACGGUACCUCCAGAGGAAGCCCCGGCUAACUCCGUGCCAGCAGCCGCGGUAAUACGGAGGGGGCAAGCGUUGUUCGGAUUUACUGGGCGUAAAGGGUCCGUAGGCGGUUGCAUAAGUCUGGCGUGAAAUCUUCACCGCUCAACGGGAAGAGGCCGCUGGAAACUGCGCAACUUGAGUAUGGUAGAGGCAAGCGGAAUUCCUGGUGUAGCGGUGGAAUGUGUAGAUAUCAGGAAGAACAUCUGUGGCGAAGGCGGCUUGCUGGGCCAUUACUGACGCUGAGGGACGAAAGCGUGGGGAGCAAACGGGAUUAGAUACCCGCGUAGUCC
rnacentral:rRNA from 1 species